GCGUAAACCAAGAUAACAGUGAACCAUGGUCGGAAGUUAAGUGCUGUAGCCUUCAUGCAACAACAGGAGAAUGGAAACACCUACUAGACUAAUGGUCACACCUUCUGCAUCUCCUGUAAUAUCAGAGUUCUGAUGAUGUGUUUGCUCUUACACGCAUAUUCCUCGUCAGAACCAUUUACUUCAAUUGGAACUACACCACUAUACAUCAGAACCCGGCCUUCAAAAAUACAUGGCUAGCCCUUAGGUAUAUUUAAAGAGGAAGAAAUCCUUUCUGAAGGAGGCAAAGAAAUCUAAUUAAGCAAAACAAACGUCCUACCUCCAGCCAUCUGUGGCAAUGCCUCAGUUUGGAAUUCAGCCAUAAAAAGCUGGGCUGCAAAACCUGUAAUACCUAUCUAGCCCUCCAACCUGCAGCAGCAAGGUGAAAUCCUCUCUCCACUGAAAUUUAAGGGAAACUGUUGAUUUAAACAAAGCUACCUUUUUGUGUUUACUAAGCUUGAGUGGAAAGGAUACAUGUUUGCUGUAAACUGAUUAUCUUAAUGUUGCACGUUUUGGAAAAGCAUGGAGUUUUUUGGGGUAGGGGUUGUUCUGUAUUUGUUUUUGACCUGAUUAAGUGAGGUUAGUGUUAAUAUAUGAUUCAUUAUGCAUUUAAUGUAUUAAUGAAUGGGAUGUAGCCACAAAUUCUAUGUGCUUUAUUUAGGAUAACAUCCUUUCUGAAAGGGACAGCUAAACACACACAAUUUCUUGAAAUGAUGUCCCUGCUCAAGUACAAGAUGAAGCAUAUGAGAAAAACUUGGUUUCAAGAGAGGUUUCCUUUAGCCAUUAGGCUGCUGCAUGCUCAAGUUUCUUCUCCCAAAAGUGAUUGUAGUCAUGUACCAUGCAGUGAAAUAGCAUUCACUAGUUUUCAAGAAAAUGAAAUCUACUUCACCUAUGUGGAAUGGAGAGAGGACAAAUCAGUUGAAAUAAAUAGGCAGUUUUAUUGAUUCAAGCAUGGGCUCCAUCCUGUAUGAAUUCAUCUCCUGAACACCUGUGCCAGCAAUUCUUCCACUACAAAAUACUGCAAAAAGCUGUCAAUUUGGUUGAAACCUCCUGUCCGUUCCUAGUCGCCGAUUCUUCUGGGUAACAGUUAAGUGGGAACUGCUGACUUUCUGCUGGUAAGUGAUUUACUGCCCGCCUGGAUGGAAAGGAAGUGGGAAGGGGUCUUUGGAGAGAUGAUCCUCACAUGUGG
ensembl:lncRNA